GAUGAACGCUGGCGGCGUGCCUAAUACAUGCAAGUCGAGCGAACAGACGAGGAGCUUGCUCCUCUGACGUUAGCGGCGGACGGGUGAGUAACACGUGGAUAACCUACCUAUAAGACUGGGAUAACUUCGGGAAACCGGAGCUAAUACCGGAUAAUAUAUUGAACCGCAUGGUUCAAUAGUGAAAGACGGUUUUGCUGUCACUUAUAGAUGGAUCCGCGCCGCAUUAGCUAGUUGGUAAGGUAACGGCUUACCAAGGCAACGAUGCGUAGCCGACCUGAGAGGUGGAUCGGCCACACUGGACCUGAGACACGGUCCAGACUCCAACGGGAGGCAGCAGUAGGGAAUCUUCCGCAAUGGGCGAAAGCUUGACGGAGCAACGCCGCGUGAGUGAUGAAGGUCUUCGGAUCGUAAAACUCUGUUAUUAGGGAAAAACAAAUGUGUAAUUAACUAGGCACGUCUUGACGGUACCAAAUCAGAAAGCCACGGCUAACUACGU
rnacentral:rRNA from 1 species